GACGAACGCUGGCGGCGUGCUUAACACAUGCAAGUCGAACGGUGAAGCGCCUUCCUUUUUGGUGGGUGUGGAUGAGUGGCGAACGGGUGAGUAACACGUGAGUAACCUGCCCCCUUCUUCUGGAUAACCGCAUGAAAGUGUGGCUAAUACGGGAUAUUCUGGGUCUGUCGCAUGAUGGGUCUGGGAAAGAUAUUGUUUCGGUGGGGGAUGGGCUCGCGGCCUAUCAGCUUGUGGGUGGGGUGAUGGCCUACCAAGGCGGUGACGGGUAGCCGGCCUGAGAGGGUGGACGGUCACACUGGGACUGAGACACGGCCCAGACUCCUACGGGAGGCAGCAGUGGGGAAUAUUGCACAAUGGGCGCAAGCCUGAUGCAGCGACGCCGCGUGAGGGAUGGAGGCCUUCGGGUUGUGAACCUCUUUCGCCAGUGAAGCAGGCCUGCCUCGUUUGUGGGUGGGUUGACGGUAGCUGGAUAAGAAGCGCCGGCUAACUACGUG
rnacentral:rRNA from 1 species